ACCAUCAUUAAGUUGGGUACUCUAUUAAGACUGCCGCUGACAAGGCGGAGGAAGGUGGGGACGACUUCAAGUCAUCAUGGCCCUUACGACCAGGGCUACACACGUGCUACAAUGGGUAUUACAGAUGGCUGCGAAGGUGCGAGCUGGAGCGAAACUCAAAAAGGUAAUCUUAGUCCGGAUUGCAGUCUGCAACUCGACUGCAUGAAGUCGGAAUCGCUAGUAAUCGCAGGUC
rnacentral:rRNA from 1 species